rnacentral:rRNA from 1 species
AGUCGACGAAACUUCUUUAUCACCGAGUGCUUGCACUCACCGAUAAUUAGUUGAGUGGCGAACGGGUGAGUAACACGUGGGCAACCUGCCCAAAAGAGGGGGAUAACACUUGGAAACAGGUGCUAAUACCGCAUAACCAUAGUUACCGCAUGGUAACUAUGUAAAAGGUGGCUAUACUACCGCUUUUGGAUGGGCCCGCGGCGCAUUAGCUAGUUGGUAGGGUAAAGGCUUACCAAGGCAAUGAUGCGUAGCCGAAUUGAGAGGUUGAUCGGCCACAUUGGGACUGAGACACGGCCCAAACUCCUACGGGAGGCAGCAGUAGGGAAUCUUCCACAAUGGGCGAAAGCCUGAUGGAGCAACGCCGCGUGGGUGAAGAAGGUCUUCGGAUCGUAAAACCCUGUUGUUAGAGAAGAAAGUGCGUGAGAGUAACUGUUCACGUUUCGACGGUAUCUAACCAGAAAGCCACGGCUAACUACGUGCCAGCAGCCGCGGUAAUACGUAGGUGGCAAGCGUUAUCCGGAUUUAUUGGGCGUAAAGGGAACGCAGGCGGUCUUUUAAGUCUGAUGUGAAAGCCUUCGGCUUAACCGGAGUAGUGCAUUGGAAACUGGGAGACUUGAGUGCAGAAGAGGAGAGUGGAACUCCAUGUGUAGCGGUGAAAUGCGUAGAUAUAUGGAAGAACACCAGUGGCGAAAGCGGCUCUCUGGUCUGUAACUGACGCU